rnacentral:rRNA from 1 species
CCUACGGGGGGCAGCAGUGGGGGAUAUUGCACAAUGCGGGGAACCGUGAUGCAGCGACGCCGCGUGAGUGACGGAGCGUUUCGGCGCGUAAAGCCCUAUCGGCAGGGAAGAAGGAGGACGGUACCUGACUAAGAAGCCCCGACGAACUACGUGCCAGCAGCCGCGGUAAUACGUAGGGGGCAAGCGUUAUCCGGAGUGACUGGGUGUAAAGGGUGCGCAGACGGCAGCGCAAGUCAGGAGUGAAAGCCUGGGGCUCAACCUCAGGAAGGCUCUUGGGACUGUGCGGAUGGAGUGCAGGAGAGGAUGGCAGAAUUCCUGGUGUAGCGGUGAAAUGCGUAGAUAUCAGGAGGAAUACCGGUAGCGAAGGCGGCCUGCUGGAUUGCGACUGACGCUGAGGCCCGAAAGCGUGGGGAGCAAACAGGAUUAGAUACCCCAGUAGUC